rnacentral:misc_RNA from 1 species
CGACAGUUGCCUGCUGAUAGAGGGCAUAUAGUAGAAGAGCAGCGUCGUUUGAGAAUUUGGAGCUGACACCUUUUGUAGAGGAGUCGGAAGAUCCAUCAAACCCAGCAUAAGAUGCCGCUGCAUAGAAUCGCUCCGGAUACGCGAGGCCAGAGCUUACCCUCGCCAUCGCCAUUUCACUUCUCUCACUCACUCUGAAACUUUUGUGCGUUUUCUUCAGAUCACAAUUUCAGAUCUUGAUCAAUGAAUUCUACAAAGAAAGUGAAGAUUUGGAGUUUUUUG